GAAGUUUUCCGCCCUGGCCUAAUACAUGCAAGUCGAGCGGACAGGAAGGGAGCUUGCUCCCGGAUGUUAGCGGCGGACGGGUGAGUAACACGUGGGUAACCUGCCUGUAAGACUGGGAUAACUCCGGGAAACCGGAGCUAAUACCGGAUAGUUCCUUGAACCGCAUGGUUCAAGGAUGAAAGACGGUUUCGGCUGUCACUUACAGAUGGACCCGCGGCGCAUUAGCUAGUUGGUGGGGUAAUGGCUCACCAAGGCGACGAUGCGUAGCCGACCUGAGAGGGUGAUCGGCCACACUGGGACUGAGACACGGCCCAGACUCCUACGGGAGGCAGCAGUAGGGAAUCUUCCGCAAUGGACGAAAGUCUGACGGAGCAACGCCGCGUGAGUGAUGAAGGUUUUCGGAUCGUAAAGCUCUGUUGUUAGGGAAGAACAAGUGCGAGAGUAACUGCUCGCACCUUGACGGUACCUAACCAGAAAGCCACGGCUAACUACGUGCCAGCAGCCGCGGUAAUACGUAGGUGGCAAGCGUUGUCCGGAAUUAUUGGGCGUAAAGGGCUCGCAGGCGGUUUCUUAAGUCUGAUGUGAAAGCCCCCGGCUCAACCGGGGAGGGUCAUUGGAAACUGGGAAACUUGAGUGCAGAAGAGGAGAGUGGAAUUCCACGUGUAGCGGUGAAAUGCGUAGAGAUGUGGAGGAACACCAGUGGCGAAGGCGACUCUCUGGUCUGUAACUGACGCUGAGGAGCGAAAGCGUGGGGAGCGAACAGGAUUAGAUACCCUGGUAGUCCACGCCGUAAACGAUGAGUGCUAAGUGUUAGGGGGUUUCCGCCCCUUAGUGCUGCAGCUAACGCAUUAAGCACUCCGCCUGGGGAGUACGGGUCGCAAGACUGAAACUCAAAGGAAUUGACGGGGGCCCGCACAAGCGGUGGAGCAUUGUGGUUUAAUUCGAAAGCACGCGAAGAACCUUACCAGUCUUGACAUCCUCUGACAACCCUAGAGAUAGGGCUUUCCCUUUCGGGGACAGAGUGACAAGGUGGUGCAUGGGUUGUCGUCAGCUUCGUGUCGUGAGAUGGUGGUUAGUCCCGCCAACGAGCGCACCCUUGAUUCUUAGUGCAAGCAUCAAUGGCACUUCAAAGUACUGCUGUGACAUCGAAGGAGGGUGUGGAUUGAC
rnacentral:rRNA from 1 species